CCUACGGGAGGCAGCAGUGGGGAAUUUUCCGCAAUGGGCGAAAGCCUGACGGAGCAAUACCGCGUGAGGGAGGAAAGCCUUGGGGUUGUAAACCUCUUUAAUCAGGGAAGAAAAUUUGACGGUACCUGAAAAAAAAGCAUCGGCUAACUCCGUGCCAGCAGCCGCGGUAAUACGGAGGAUGCAAGCGUUAUCCGGAAUAAUUGGGCGUAAAGGGUCCGCAGGUGGCCAUUCAAGUCUGCUGUCAAAGACCGUGGCUCAACCGCGGGAAGGCAGUGGAAACUGUUUAGCUAGCAGAGUACGGUAGGGGUAGAGGGAAUUCCCAGUGUAGCGGUGAAAUGCGUAGAUAUUGGGAAGAACACCGGUGGCGAGAGCGCUCUACCGGGCCGAAACUGACACUGAGGGACGAAAGCUAGGGGAGCGAAAGGGAUUAGAUACCCCUGUAGUCCUAGCUGUAAACGAUGGAUACUAGGUGUAGCUUGUAUCGACCCGAGCUGUACCGAAGCUAACGCGUUAAGUAUCCCGCCUGGGGAGUACGCACGCAAGUGUGAAACUCAAAGGAAUUGACGG
rnacentral:rRNA from 1 species